GGCGGCCUCAUCCUCCUAGUGAGGUCAGGUUGAUCCUGGCGGAGGCUACUGCUAUUGGGGUUCGAUUAACCCAUGCAAGUUGAACGAUUCUUCGGAAUCGUGGCGAACGGCUCAGUAACACGUGGAUAACCUACCCUUAGGACCGGUAUAACCCUGGGAAACUGGGGACAAUCCCGGAUAGGUGAUUUUUUCUGUAAUGAUUUUUCAUUUAAAUGCUCCGGCGCCUGAGGAUGGGUCUGCGGCAGAUUAGGUAGUUGGUAGGGUAAUGGCCUACCAAGCCGGUGAUCUGUACGGGUUGUGAGAGCAAGAGCCCGGAGAUGGAACCUGAGACAAGGUUCCAGGCCCUACGGGGCGCAUCAGGCGCGAAACCUCCGCAAUGCGAGAAAUCGCGACGGGGGGACCCCAAGUGCCACUCUUAACGGGGUGGCUUUUCUUAAGUGUAAAAGCUUUUGGAAUAAGGGCUGGGCAAGACCGGUGCCAGCCGCCGCGGUAAACACGGCAGCUCUAGUGGUAGCCAUUUUUAUUGGGCCUAAAGCGUUUCGUGCCGGUUUGAUAAGUCUCUGGUGAAAUCCUGUAGCUUAACUGUGGGAAAUGCUGGAGAUACUUUUAGAAUUGGAGUCCGGAAGAAGUUAGCGGCCCUCCCAGGUUAGGGGUGAAAUCCUUGUAUCCUGGGAGGACCCCCUGUGGGCGAAGGCGGCUAACGGUAACGAACCUGGAGGUGAAGGGAUAUAAGCCCGGUGCCCGA
rnacentral:rRNA from 1 species